AUUGAACGCUGGCGGCAUGCUUUACACAUGCAAGUCGAACGGCAGCGCGGGCUUCGGCCUGGCGGCGAGUGGCGAACGGGUGAGUAAUACAUCGGAACGUGCCCAGUAGUGGGGGAUAGCUCGGCGAAAGCCGGAUUAAUACCGCAUACGACCUGAGGGUGAAAGCGGGGGAUCUUCGGACCUCGCGCUAUUGGAGCGGCCGAUGGCAGAUUAGCUAGUUGGUGGGGUAAAGGCCUACCAAGGCGACGAUCUGUAGCUGGUCUGAGAGGACGACCAGCCACACUGGGACUGAGAAACGGCCCAGACUCCUACGGGAGGCCGCAGUGGGGAAUUUUGGACGAUGGGCGAAAGCCUAAUACAGCAAUGCCGCGUGUGUGAUGAAGGCCUUCGGGUUGUAAAGCACUUUUGGCGGGAACGAAAAGGACUGUGCCAAUACCACGGUUCGAUGACGGUACCCGCAGAAUAAGCACCGGCUAACUCCGUG
rnacentral:rRNA from 1 species